AUCCUAAGUCAUUUUCCCUCCGAUCACACGUAGAUAUGCCAUGUCAAACAUAAAAGUCAUUAAAUUUCUCUCCCUCUUUAAUCGAUUAAACGUCUCUCUCUCUCUCUCUCUCUCUCUCUCUCUCUCUCUCUCUCUAUGUCAGAUGUGUUCUUCGUUUCUUGUUCAUUCACAUCCACACUUUCCCAUUCCAUCACCGAUCCACAGUCGGAGGACGCCAAGGACAGUGACUAAUCCAAAAAUUUUGAAUCUGAACAUGUGUUCUUUGUUUCUUGCCCUCUUCAACAUCCCUUUCUUCAUCUUCUUCAUCCCAAAUCCGAAUCUGAAACCUGAUCCAAUACCAGACCUAGAUGCAUUCAAUCGAGAUUAGUACUUGUCGUCUUCGUGGUAAUCGAAUCCAGAUUUUUUGAAUCUGAACGUGAACAAUGCAUUAUCGUCAUCAAUUUCUUCCACUAAAAGUCAGUUGUGAACAUCCAACGGAAUUUGAAUGUGGCCACCAUCGAUUUCGACUCUUUCAUUACCGAUUAACCCGUCUCUGUCUUUCUUUUCCAAUGAUUCCAAAGACGGUGAGCUUAUGGGACAGAUCCAAAAGAUUGAUUGAUUUUCUAGAUUGUUUCAAUACUCUCUUCUCUUCAUCUUCAUCUUCUUAUGAAGACCAAUAGCAACGAAAGAAUCUUAGUCGAUGGUAUAAGAUCGAGUUCUGGUGUGAGUGAGAUCGAUUUUCUGGUGGAGUGAAAAAGCAAAAUCUAUUGCAGCGAGAGAUGGAUUUAUGGGAGGCGGACUAUGGUGGCGGUAGAGGAUGACUUUUAGGCAAUGUUUUAAAACCCGGGUCGACCCGGCGGUUCAACCGGUUGGACCGUGACCCGGGGUAGAAGGCGGGUCAAUUGAAACCGGUUUUUUGUAAAAAUGCGAACCGGAUCGAACAGGCCGGGUUUCCCCUAAACCGUGUUUCGACCGCUUAUGUUGAACCGGUUAAACCGGUUUGACCCGUUUCAAUAGAGUUUGGAUAGUUGGAUACAAGUAGCGAACGCCAAAACAACGAGCCGUUUGCGGUUUCUUCAAUGUUUUUCAAUGUUUAAACUUUGUGGACAUUAAAUUAUUAGUUUUAUAUGUUUAUGUAUUAUGCAUGAAAGUAAAAAUAUAUAGAAAUAGAAAAAGACCAUAAACCGGGUUGACCCGUGAACCGGUCAUCACACCGGGUCAACUAAAAACCCGGGUUUUAAAA